UGAAAAUCUGGUGCCUGGCUAAAUCUCAGUUUCAGUAACAAAAUAUUGUUAUAUACUGUGUAGAAAGAAGGAAAAGAGGCGAAGAGUAAGAACAGAUUUCCUGAGUCUGUUUCCUUGAAUUCACAUUAUCUGGUGUUCCACUCCUCCGUAACACCGAGAUGAUCAGAGCCCUGGCAGGGCAGCGGUCUGUCCAACUGCCAGCAGAGAAGCUCUGACCUGACAGCAGACUCAAUCUUCUGGUCUGAUGGACGAUGGUGGUGCCAGCACAUGUGUCUUCUGGAAGAUAGGAAUGUGGAUCUCACACAGCAGUAGGACUUUUUUUCCCUUUACAAUGGCCGAGCAGAGCAGCAGCAGUGCCAUUGAUUCCUGCUGUUGCCGCCCUGCUGAACGCCAAGACAGAUAAACUGUGGGAUGUUCUUAGCAGCUCCUCCAUGGGGUAGUAAGAUAAACAUGAGAAACAUAAGGAGAUAUUAAAGAGUAGAUUAUAAUCCAUUUUCAGGAAACACCAUUUUCUCCAGCAAGAGAGACUGAACUUUAUCAAAGGGGAAACUUCUCCAGGAGGACUUGCCAAAGUAAAUCUCUUUGAUGCAAAUGGUUUAAGCAAAGACAUUCACCUUAAUCUACUGUGUGGUGACCUGCUCUUCUGAUACAAAGAAUAAUUAUGGGUGUUUUCGGAAUUGCUGUGGUCUGCAAAUCCUCCAAAUCUAAGUUCUUAAUGUUCCCGCUUCACCACUCUGAUCUUGGUCACCCACAUUUCUUGUAAUUUUGGCCUUGCUUAAUGCCUUUAGGUGUUGUUACUUGGAAAGACUUCACUGCCUUUUGAAGGACAGAUUAAAAAAUAACAAGCUUUUUUUUUUUUUUUUUUACCUUUACAUUUAAUUGUUGUGCCUGGGUCUAAUAAAGUGAAUGACCCACAAAUAACUUGAUCGAAGUGCAGAACACAGUGGAGUGGAGAAGACGAGUGUUUAGCUGUUGAAAUCAAUACUUUCAUGCAGAUUGAUGUCUGUGCCAGUUUGCCAUCCCGGACGUUUUCAGUUUAGUUUAUUUGUGUUACAGUAGUAGUGACAAUGUAGUUAAAUAUAGCCUCUGAAAACAGGAUCUCUGCUUGUUUCAUUUGUAUUCUACUGUUCUUUCAUUAAACAUUUCUUCAUCUUUGCAGAGCCAAAUUCUUACAAUAAUAAAUCAGAGACACCUAAAGUUCUUGCCAAGUCAAAUAUCUACAGUUUCUGGCAAUUAUGUAAUUUCCAGAUUUGCUACAAUGACUCUUGCCGAUAAGUCAAUUGUCAUAAAAAGAAAUGUUCCAGACCAAUCUUUAUUAGGGUGUCCUUCACUGAUCUGUGUAAAAUAAUCCCCCUCCAGCCCCACUUUCUUUUAGAAAAGAGAAACAUAAUUACAGCUUUUUCCCUUGCUAUGAAUGACUCUUCAUCAUAACAAUUUAUAUCUGGAAAAUGUCACAAGAAAAUGUGAAAAAG
ensembl:lncRNA